GACGAACGCUGGCGGCGUGCUUAACACAUGCAAGUCGAGCGGUAAGGCCCUUUCGGGGGUACACGAGCGGCGAACGGGUGAGUAACACGUGGGUGACCUGCCCUCAGCUCUGGGAUAAGCCUGGGAAACCGGGUCUAAUGCUGGAUAUGACUCCAUGACGCAUGUUGUGGGGUGGAAAGCCUUGUGCGGCUGAGGAUGGGCCCGCGGCCUAUCAGCUUGUUGGUGGGGUGAUGGCCUACCAAGGCGACGACGGGUAGCCGGCCUGAGAGGGCGACCGGCCACACUGGGACUGAGACACGGCCCAGACUCCUACGGGAGGCAGCAGCUAAGAAUCUUGCGCAAUGAGCGAAAGCUUGACGCAGCAACGCCGCGUGGAGGACGAAAGGCCCUCGGGUCGUAAACUCCUUUUGCGAGGGAAGAAGAUCUGACGGUAUCUCGCGAAUAAGCCACGGCUAACUACGUGCC
rnacentral:rRNA from 1 species